CGAAAUCAUAAUAUUCUGUAUCUCAACUGAGAAACAACGUCUGUGUGAGAGCUAAAAAAAAAGAAAAUAAUUUAGUGAAAAUAAAAAAAAAAACAAAAAUGAAUAAUUUUUUAUCAAUUUUUUCGGACAAACCGGUAGCAGAACUCUCUGAGCCUCUUAAGGAGGAUUCGGCCGUAUGUUCGUUGCCACGUUGUGAACAUGAGCUCAAGUUGCGAGUGAUUAGUAUUGCUGCAGUUGUAUUACUUUUUCUAUAUGUGCUAUAUAAAUUUUUGCGUUCUCCGAUCCCGAAUUGGGAAGAAAGGAUUGUAGACGAUUUGCAAAAUACUACAGAUACAGGACACGCAAACUACAAUAGAACAGGAAAAGUAUCAGUUAAACACUUUAGCAAGUUCGAAGAUAUGAUUUUAAUGUGCAACAAGCGCACUAUCUCAACACAAACCGUGUUAUCCACAAAUGGCCAUGUUAUGACUAUGUGUGUUUAUAACGAGGAGGACAUAAUAAUAACUGAAAGGGCAAUCAUUUAGGAAACAGGAUCACUCAUUAAAGGCAAAUCUAUGUAGGGUUCAAGAAGAUAACACAAUCCACCACAAUGAAGAAUUUCCAGCA